AUUUUUUAUAACUAGUCACAACUCAAUUUUUUAAUUGUUUUCUUUAGACUUUGGUAUAUAAGUGUUGAGACCUACUUAUAUGUUCGUGAGAUGAGCAUUCAAAUACUCUCGAUUUCCGUUUAUCUUAUUCAAAACUAUAAUGUCUUCGGAUCGCUUCUAUCAAUGAUGCCAUUAAUUCAAUUCUGUUUUGUGAUGACAAAAACGUCACCAAAAAAAUUCGCAUAAGCGAUCGGUAAAUUCAUCGUUAUAGAAAUAACCUCCCUCUCAACCAGUGUUUUGCCGAUCGCCAAUUGGAUUCUUCAAUGCUAUCAUUACUAGCUGUAGUUAAAUUCGUCAAAACUUAGUUUGUACUAACAUAAUCGACCGUAAAAUAAAUAUUAAAUACUAAUCA